CGCGAAACCAGACGAGCUACUGCUUCGCGUAUAUUAGUAUAGAGUAUGUGGCAUAAUAUUUUAAGAUAAAGCAGUAGGGGUGAUAGGCUAUCAAGUCUGGUGAUAUCUCGUUACCUUUGAAAUGUAUUAAGUACGGUGUCAAAUCACUAGUGAUAAGGCUGGUGAAACGUAUGUAGUUUAAUAAUUUAAGAGUACAUAGUUUAACCGCUAGUAACUGACCAUACAAAUAUUAGAAUUUAAAGAUAAUAAAUAAUAAAGGGUACUAAUUAAUUACAUUACUUAUUAAUAUUGUGCGUAUUAGUAGUUUAGGUAUCAUUGAUGAACUCGGCAACAUUUCUUUCACCUGUUUAUCAAAAACAUCGCCAGUAGAAAGGACUAUUGGUUAUUUCUGCUCAAUGAACCAUAAAUAGCCGCAGUACCCUGACUGUGCAAAGGUAGCAUAAUCAUUUGGCUUAUAAUUGAAGUCUUGCAUGAAGGAACUCAUGGGGGAAAACUCUAUUAGUGAUAAUUAGUGAACUUCUUUAGGGGGUGCAAAGACCCCCUCGAUAAAUAAUAGACGAGAAGACCCUAGAAAUUUGCAGGAUAUGUAACGAUAACUUUUUGUUGGGGCAACAUCGUAGCAUUUAACCUACAGUAACAACACGCCAUGUUUUAGAAAGAUUAAAUUACUCUAGGGAUAACAGCGUAAUUCUGAAGAGUUUGCGACCUCGAUGUUGGACUAGGAAGCAGCCGCUUAGGA
rnacentral:rRNA from 1 species